rnacentral:rRNA from 1 species
UACAGAGGAGCCAAGCGUUGUCCGGAUUGACUGGGCGUAAAGCGCACGCAGGCGGGUCUGCGCGUGGGGUGUGAAAUCUGGCCGCUUAACGGCCAGGCGCCAUCCCAUACGGCAGGCCUGGAGCGCUGCAGAGGUCGGUGGAAUUGCCGGUGUAGUGGUGAAAUGCGUAGAGAUCGGCAGGAACACCCAGGGGGAAACCAGCCGACUGGGCAGCAGCUGACGCUGAGGUGCGAGAGCGUGGGGAGCGAACCGG